rnacentral:rRNA from 1 species
UACGUAGGUGGCAAGCGUUGUCCGGAAUUAUUGGGCGUAAAGCGCGCGCAGGCGGUCCUUUAAGUCUGAUGUGAAAGCCCACGGCUCAACCGUGGAGGGUCAUUGGAAACUGGGGGACUUGAGUGCAGAAGAGGAAAGCGGAAUUCCACGUGUAGCGGUGAAAUGCGUAGAGAUGUGGAGGAACACCAGUGGCGAAGGCGGCUUUCUGGUCUGUAACUGACGCUGACACGCGAAAGCUAGGGGAGCGAACGGG